AUUCCCGUUGAUCCUGCGGGAGAUUGCUGCUAUCUGGAUUCGAUUUAAGCCAUGCAAGUCAAGGGGACCUUCGGGUCACCGGCAUAAGGCUCAGUAACACGUCGAUAAUCUGCCCUAUGGUCUGGAAUAACUUCGCGAAAGUGAGGCUAAAACCGGAUAGGGAAAUUCUACUGGAAAGUGUUUUUCCUUAAAAGCAAUGCCAUAGGAUGAGUCGGCGGCUGAUUAGGCAGUUGGUGAGGUAAUGGCUCACCAAACCUACGAUCAGUAGGGGGGAUGAGAGUCCUAGCCUCGAGAAGGGCACUGAGAUAAGGGCCCUAGCCCUAAGGGGUGCAGCAGGCGCGAAACCUUUACAAUGCACGAAAGUGUGAUAAGGGAAUCCAGAGUGCUUAUGUUAUGCAUAAGCUUUUGCCAAGUGUAAAUAACUUGGAGAAUAAGUGGUGGGCAAUACCGGUGCCAGCAGCCGCGGUAACCCCGGAGCCACAAGUGGGAAUCACGAUUAUUGGGUCUAAAGGGUCCGUAGCCGACUUGCUAUGUCUUUUGUGAAACUGUUAGGCUUAACUUAACAACGUGCAAGGGAAACUGGCAAGUUAGAGACCGGGAAGAGGCAGAGGUAUUCCUUGGGAAGCGGUAAAAUGUUAUAAUCCUUGGAAGACCACCUAUGGCGAAGGCAUCUGCCUAGAACGGGUCUGACGGUGAGGGACGAAGGCUGGGAGAACGAUCGGGAUUAGAUACCCCAGUAGCCCCAGCAGUAAACGCUGUGAACUAGGUGUUGCAUAUUCUCCGAGAAUAUGCAGUGCCGGAGCGAAGGUGUUAAGUUCACCACCUGGGAAGUACGGUCGCAAGACUGAAACUUAAAGGAAUUGGCGGGGGCGCACCACAACGAGUGCGGCGUGCGGUUUAAUCUAACUCAACACAGAGAAUCUCACCAUGGGCGACGGCAGGAUGAAGGUCAGAUUAAAGGUUUUACCUGACGAGCCGAGAGGUACUGCAUGGCCGACGUCAGCUCGUGCCGUAAGGUGUCACGUUAAGUCGUGCAACGAGCAAGACCCGUAUCCUCAGUUGCCACCAACUACUUCGGUAGGAUUGAGCACACUGAGGAGACUGCCUUGGUAACAAGGAGGAAGGUUCGGGCAACGUUAGGUCUGUAUGGUCCGAAUCUCAUGGGCUACACGCGCGCUGCAAUGGUAGGGACAAUGUGAUACAACUCCGAAAGGAGAAGUCAAACCUCUAAACCUUAUCUUAGUCCGGAUUGAGGGCUGUAACUCGCCCUCAUGAGGCUGGAAUUCGUAGUAAUCGGACUUUAACAGGGUCCGGUGAAUAUGUCCCUGCGCCUUGCACACACUGCCCGUCAAGCCAACCGAGCAGGGUUCGUGUGAGGCUUAGUCUUUGGCUAAGUCGAACACGAAUUCAGUGAGGAGGGUUAAGUCGUCACAAGGUAGCCGUAGGGGAACCUGCGGCUGGAUCACCUCCU
rnacentral:rRNA from 1 species